CAGGGGAUCCCACCAAGGAUAAGGCCAAUUCAAAUGCGGGGCUGCGCUCCUAUGAUGCCCUCUGGGGCUGUUCCCAGGUUCCUUGUCAGCAUGACUGAUAACGCUGCAGAACCAACCUCCCCCAGUGACUUCCUGCCCCUUUCAAGAGGGGCCCUGCAGCAGGGGGGUUCUGUUUUGGGACAAAGUAGCUCAAGCUGUGCAUUCCCUCCAAAUGAUUAAGCUUAAUAACACACAGAUGAGUCAUUUGAACAGUGUUUAAAACUCAGUCAUGGCCAAAUUUAAUGCAUCACUUGGACUGAGUAAUCGGGACAUCUCACAAAUCUCAGAAGCAAGCGAGAGCAGAAUCUGGAGCCUGCUCUUUGUGUUUCAGCAGCUCACACUCCAAAUCUAUUUGCAAACAGAUACCGAGAAGCCCGAAAGAGAAUACUUUACAUCUUAAAUCAACUGGAAGGCAUCUAAAGCCAAGGGAUUGAAAUGUCUGCUUUCAUUCCUAGAAAGAGCAGCAACUGGAAAGUGGAAAUGGACAUAAACAAGAGCUUGGAUCCAAACAGCCUCCAAACUUGGAUCUGCCUGAACUCUGCAGCAUACCUCACUGUAUGCAUGGCCUAAAUGUAAGUCAUAAUAUAUAGCAAAGAUGGAAAAUGAAGGGCAAAAAAAGAAUAGGGCACUUAAAAUGUUGCCUGAUUCUUUCCUUCUAGGCAAAUAACUGCUUCCAGAAGCUCAGCACAAUGGUUCUGAAAUAGACACUCUGCAACAAUAAAUGCGAGAAUACGUCAGAGUGAUUGAAACAAUUUUGUAACGAGAGCAAAUAACACCCUGUGAAAUGGGGGACAGUUGAGGAAUAUAUUUGCGGUUCAGGUCUCUCUCUCAAAGGAAGGGUGAAAGUCUGGAUAAAUGAAGUCUUAUAAGCUUUGGAUUUGCUGAGGCCAAGUGUCGCGUGUUGAGUAAAGCAGGAUCAUGUUGCGUUUUUAUUUUGGGGUGUGUAGUACUUCAACUGAACUGUGGUUGUAAACGAAUAAAUAACACUUUAAAUUACA